rnacentral:rRNA from 1 species
UACGUAGGGGGCAAGCGUUGUCCAGAUUUAUUGGGCGUAAAGCGCUCGCAGGCGGUCCGAUGCGUCGUGCGUGAAAGACCCCGGCUCAACUGGGGAGGGUCGUGCGAUACGGUCGGACUCGAGGCCAGUAGGGGGACGCGGAAUUCCGGGUGUAGUGGUGGAAUGCGUAGAGAUCCGGAGGAACACCAGCGGCGAAGGCGGCGUCCUGGACUGGUACUGACGCUCAGGAGCGAAAGCGUGGGGAGCGAUCCGG